CAAUUUAUUCCUUUUCGAAGCUAGAAUUUAUUAGUUAAAACGUUGUUGUGGAUGUGACACGGAAACUAAAUUUAACAAUAUCAACGCGAAAGAACAACGGAAAAAACAAUGGUAAAAACAAUAUUGAUCAUUUUGUUAUUGGUGACUGCGACAUUAGCGACGCCAUUUCCGGAUAAGAGAGCUGCAGUUUGUACAGGGCCCAGCGGAACAAUUUAUUUCGAGAAUUUCUGUGGUUGUAUUGGACAAACACGAUGUUGCUGCAAACAAUCUGGCAAAAUGGAAUGCAAUAGCCACCCAAACUGUUAUUUCAACGGCUAAUUGUGUGUUAAAAAAAUGUCAGCUCCUCGAACAGAUGUCAACUUCGUUAGUCGUAAACACAUUUAUAAAUAAAUGUUUGAACAACUUUAAAA